UGUUAUGUGGCUCAGCUGGUUAAAGCGCCGUACUAGCUAUACGGAGUCGUGGGUUCGAAUCCCACCAAAACAA
rnacentral:tRNA from 1 species